rnacentral:rRNA from 1 species
AACGAACGCUGGCGGCAUGCCUAACACAUGCAAGUCGAACGAAGGCUUCGGCCUUAGUGGCGCACGGGUGCGUAACGCGUGGGAAUCUGCCCUUUGGUUCGGAAUAACAGCUGGAAACGGCUGCUAAUACCGGAUGAUGACGAAAGUCCAAAGAUUUAUCGCCAGAGGAUGAGCCCGCGUUGGAUUAGGUAGUUGGUGGGGUAAAGGCCUACCAAGCCGACGAUCCAUAGCUGGUCUGAGAGGAUGAUCAGCCACACUGGGACUGAGACACGGCCCAGACUCCUACGGGAGGCAGCAGUGGGGAAUAUUGGACAAUGGGCGCAAGCCUGAUCCAGCAAUGCCGCGUGAGUGAUGAAGGCCCUAGGGUUGUAAAGCUCUUUUACCCGGGUAGAUAAUGACUGUACCGGGAGAAUAAGCCCCGGCUAACUCCGUG